GUGGGGAAUUUUGGACAAUGGGCGAAAGCCUGAUCCAGCAAUGCCGCGUGUGUGAAGAAGGCCUUCGGGUUGUAAAGCACUUUUGUCCGGAAAGAAAUCCCUUGGGAUAAUACCUCGGGGGGAUGACGGUACCGGAAGAAUAAGGACCGGCUAACUACGUGCCAGCAGCCGCGGUAAUACGUAGGGUCCGAGCGUUAAUCGGAAUUACUGGGCGUAAAGCGUGCGCAGGCGGUUUUGUAAGACAGAUGUGAAAUCCCCGGGCUUAACCUGGGAAUUGCAUUUGUGACUGCAAGGCUAGAGUGUGUCAGAGGGGGGUAGAAUUCCACGUGUAGCAGUGAAAUGCGUAGAGAUGUGGAGGAAUACCGAUGGCGAAGGCAGCCCCCUGGGAUAACACUGACGCUCAUGCACGAAAGCGUGGGGAGCAAACAGGAUUAGAUACCCUAGUAGUCC
rnacentral:rRNA from 1 species